GCAUCAAUGGGGUAGUGGUAACCUGGAUCGUUGCCACUCUUAUCGGCGCCUAAGUCGAUCCGCCGGGGGUUCGAUUCCCCCUUGAUGCA
rnacentral:tRNA from 1 species